CAACGGCUAGUAACGGAUAGUUUUUCAAAUCUAACCAAUGGGGAGUAACCUAAACAUGUGGGAAAGUAUUUAUAAUGACACUAUUCGUCAGAGCAAAGCAUCCUUUUGCAAUAGAUCAAAGCUUACCCAAGAAAGACAAAAGUCCUAAUUUUCUUCAUCGAGGUGCUUCAUUCUAGAGUCAAAAGGAAGUGGUUGAGCAGAUCAAAAAGAGGCAUUAAGAGCUCCACCAACCCUUGAUGAGUGAAGCAUUCCUUGACAAAGAAGAGAAGGGCCAUAUGAAAGCGAUAGCUAUAUUCUAACUCUUCUUUGUAGCUUAUAUUUGUUAUAUCUGCUCAUCUAGGAGUUUAAACCUUCUUCUUCUUCUUAACGAUCUUGUAAGGUUUGUUGGUGAGCCCGUAAAACCAACGGUGUAGGUUUGUUGGUGAACCCGUAAAACCAACGGUGAAGGUUUGUUGGUGAGCCCGUAAAACUAACAUAGGUUUUUGGUGAUCCCGGAAAACCAAGUGUAAAGAUUUUUGGAUUGUGAGCCUGGAA
rnacentral:lncRNA from 1 species